GUGCUCUCUUUGGUAGCACAUAUACUAAAAUUGGAAUGAUACAGAGAAUGUAGCAUGGCAUGGAUGUACCAGGAUGACAAACAAAUUCAUGAGGUAUUUCAUAUUUUU